CCCCGGGAACUGGGGAUAAUACCGGAUAACGCAUAUAUGCUGGAAUGCUUUAUGCGUAAAAUGGAUUCGUCUGCCCAAGGAUGGGUCUGCGGCCUAUCAGGUAGUAGUGGGUGUAAUGUACCUACUAGCCUACAACGGGUACGGGUUGUGAGAGCAAGAGCCCGGAGAUGGAUUCUGAGACAUGAAUCCAGGCCCUACGGGGCGCAGCAGGCGCGAAAACUUUACAAUGCGGGAAACCGUGAUAAGGGGACACCGAGUGCCAGCAUCAUAUGCUGGCUGUCCAGAUGUGUAAAAUACAUCUGUUAGCAAGGGCCGGGCAAGACCGGUGCCAGCCGCCGCGGUAACACCGGCGGCCCGAGUGGUGAUCGUGAUUAUUGGGUCUAAAGGGUCCGUAGCCGGUUUGGUCAGUCCUCCGGGAAAUCUGAUGGCUCAACCAUUAGGCUUUCGGGGGAUACUGCCAGGCUUGGAACCGGGAGAGGUAAGAGGUACUACAGGGGUAGGAGUGAAAUCUUGUAAUCCCUGUGAGACCACCUGUGGCGAAGGCGUCUUACCAGGACGGGUUCGACGGUGAGGGACGAAAGCUGGGGGCACGAACCGGAUUAGAUACCCGGGUAGUCCCAGCCGUAAACGAUGCUCGCUAGGUGUCAGGCAUGGCGCGACCGUGUCUGGUGCCGCAGGGAAGCCGUGAAGCGAGCCACCUGGGAAGUACGGCCGCAAGGCUGAAACUUAAAGGAAUUGGCGGGGGAGCACAA
rnacentral:rRNA from 1 species